rnacentral:rRNA from 1 species
AUACCCUAUUAUUCUUGAUUUAAUUUAAAUUUCUGAACAUUAUAAGUUAUUUUCUUUAAAACUCAAAGAAUUUGGCGGUUAAUUAUUUCUUUUUAGGGGAAUAUGUGUAAUAAUUGAUAUUCCACGAUAGAUUUCACCUGAAAUAUUAUUUGUAUAUCUCUAUUAUUAUAGUGUGUUAAAAAAAUAUAUUUUCUUUUUCUUUUUAAGUUUAACUUUAGGUCAAGGUGCAGUUUUUUUUAGGUAUACAUGUAUUACUGUAAUUAUAAAUGAUAUUGGUUAUUUAAUUAUAAUUUAUUUUAUAUAAAUAGGAUUUAAGAGUAAUUUUGAUUAAUUAAUCUUUAUGAAUUUGUUCU